GCAUAUUGUAUACAUUUGAUCCCUGGACGGCAGAGACAGGCGGAUCUCUGUGAGUUUGAGGCCAGCUUGGUCUACAGAGUGAGUUCCAGACCAGAUAUGAAUGCACAGUGAGACUUUGUCUCAAAAAGUGGGGGAGGGCCUUGGUAGAGACGGGAGAUUGCACAGUGAUUGGUUAAUCUCUUCGGGCCUCCCUGGGCGCUGCCUGUACACGGGACCUAGUUACACAUGCUGGCAAAACACCCAUGAGAGUAAAAUAACAAAUUUCAAAAAGGAAGGAAGGAAGGGGAUGGAGGAAGGAGUGAAGGAACGCAUGGUGGGUGACCUGACAAGACAAGCUGUGAUUCGUCCAAGCUGGAAAUCCCACGGCAGGAGCGUGUUCGAGUGCACACCGUCAGGGGAGGCUGCAGGAGAAGCUGGAAGGACAGGCUUUUCUGGCUUUCCUGGCACUGAGGCCUGGCUCUCAGAUUAGGACAGACUGGCUAGCCAUUGAGCUCCAGGGAUCCACUCAUCUAGCCUCCCCAGCACUGAGAUUGCAGGUGUGCACCACCGUGCUUGGUCUUCCUGUGUGAGUUCUGGUGACAGGCUCACAGAGCAAGUACUUUAGCAGCUGAGCCAUCCUCUGCACUCUCCAUCUUCUGUUUUAACAGCUCCAUUCCAGCCUGAACACUGACAAUAGACCGCUGGGAGGCUUUACAGUAAACCAAUUGAGAGAAUAUGGCUCCAGCUAGGAACUUGUAGCAGAGAUGUGGCCAGGACUUAGGACUAAAACAAAGGCCUGGAAAGAUGGGCUUGGCAGUUAAGAGUACUUGCUGUUUUUUCAGGGGAUCAGAGUUUGGUUCCCAGCACCUAUAUUAGGUGGUUCACAAAGAAAUGCCUGUAGCUCCAGUUCCAGAUCUGCUAUCCUCUUCUGGUCUCUCCACAGAGACAUGCACACACGACAAAUAAAGUCUUUAAAGCAAAAAGCA
rnacentral:lncRNA from 1 species